GGAAGUGGCGCCUGGUUGCUGUGGCGGCUCUGCGCUGCCGCUCCGUCGGGCUGCGUGGUGGUCGGAGUUGCCGGCGGUGCUCCGCGUACGGACUUGCAGUCCGUACAGUUUGGAGAAGAGGAUGCGCUGAGGAAUGAUAUCCCGCCCCAUUCAUACCAUCGCACCUCCGGAGGAAAGGGGAGGGGCAAAAGGGGGACCCAUGCAGACUGAUUGCACAGGAAGUAUUGUGGAGAUGGAAGGAGUGGCUCCAGACCACCCCCCCCCACUCCGGGCACCCACACACUCAUGUAGCCCACCCAAUGGUUCAGGCUGUGACCUUGGAAUUCCACUAUAGGUGGUGUCUGCAGCCCUGAUGAUGCAGUAGAGCAGCACAAGAGAGUGCACAGGGAUGAACGGGAAUGCAGCAGAAAGCAAGAUGAUGUUCAUGGGGGAGUAGCUGGGGUCCCUCCGUACCACAUGGAAUAGCCUCACUGCACCAGGCUUUUCCAGGAGCAAGUUCCCAUUGAUGAUAUAGCCAAUACUUAUCUCAGAUGUGCUUAUCUUCUUCUGAGUGAAUGGAUAAAACAUGUCAGAGAUUAAUUCACCCAACUAGGGAUCAAGUGCACAUUCCCCCAGGUCUGUCUCAGUCACCAACCCGUUGUCCUUGCUGCGGUAGCUGCAAGACACAAGAAAGUUGGGAGGUGAGCUGCCACAGUGGGGCUUGGUGUGGCACAGAUGUCAAACACUGAUCUGGCCUUCAUCCAGAUAGACUUGUAAUGUUAGCUGGUGGUUGGACUUGAUCUAAUCAGUUCUUUCCGUCUUAAAUGAUUCUGAGGAACAUGGUUUUGUGCAUGUGGUGGUGAUCAGUGAUCAUUGGAAUAGAUGACCUUACUGGUCUUUUCCAACCGUGAUGAUUGUAUGAUUCUUUGAUUCUGUGACUCUAUGAAUUCAUCAGUCUACAACUGAUACUAUGAUUUUAUGUUUUGGCAGGUGUAGGUUAAUGGUUAGACCUGAUGAGCAUAGAGAUUUUUUCCCACCUAAAUGAUUCUGAGAUAGUAUGAUCUGGUCCAAAGUGUCAUGCAGGGCCACCAAGAGCCCUGCAUGGGUCCCAUGCUUUUCCCAGGCUUUUGAAGAAGCUCAGAGAAGCUUCUAGAACCUUUCUCUAUAAUCCAGGGGAGAAGUGCUUCAGGCCCCGAAUCCCUGGUGAGGAAACACCAGAGAUGGAUGUGUGUGAGUGUGGCCUGGAAGAACACUCUGAAACAAGCAGGGUAGCUCAGCACCUUAUCUCUUGCCAAGAGCAUGCCAUGCAUUUGGCACCUGUGAGAGUGUUUUGCUGCUGCUUUUCACAGCAAAAUGCUUGUAUUCUGGAUGUACAGGCAUUGUGAAGCUCUACUGGAGUCAGGUCCCUGCGCUGGAUGCAGAUGGAAAAGGUGGAGAGCCCAAGCCCUGCUUUUGGAAGGAUACAUCUAGAGGGACAGGAAGGGACGUGGAGAGCAUGACAUCGUUCAGCAAAGGUUGGCACUCUUCACCAUUAUGCUGUUAUGCUUCUGGGAGCUCAGCACACCUUCCUGGAGGAGUUCCUUCAUGGUCCCACUCACAUUACAGACUCCAUGUAUUAGGAGGUCACUGUUCUACUGAAUGAACUUUGCCACUUGCAGAGAAGAGAAGGAUGAGUUUGGUGACUCAGUGUUGCUGUGACCCAUUCCUGGACCCCACCUCCCCAGCUCACCUUUCUUCAGCUUCUCCAGGAGCAUAUCAUCCCGGCACAUCCAGCCCAUGCUCUUCACUAUGUGUGCUGACACCUCCAUGCUGUGGGGCUGCCCAUAGUGGCUGUACAGUAGGCUGGCCAGUGCAGCUGCUGACAGCCCCACCUUGCUCUCCAGCUCAGUGUUUGUACCCAUCUUUGGGCUGGAUCCUCCUGAGGUCCCUCUUGGAUUUUGAGAAGGCACACAUCCCUAGAUGCUCGAGGGUGUACCAUAGGAGAUUGGCCACCAUGUUGUCCAUACUGCCUCCUGAUGCCAUAGUUCCCUGAAGCACUCCUGCAGAUGGGUGCAUGCAGCUGUGAGACUUUCAGAACGUAAUUCUUGACAGUUUUUCUGUUAAGAAAAAAGAUUUCUGUUAAUUCUGUUAAGAAUUAAACUUAGGAGUUUUUCAGGACUGCCCUCACCUGACUCCAUGGGGCCAAGAAUGUUCUUCUCAUGGUUCCUUCAGAAUGAGGACUGACUACAGUGUUAUUUUAGAGCUUUAUUGUUACAUGAAGUCUUAGGAACAGAGUCAAGAAUAAACAGCAGCAGUUG
rnacentral:lncRNA from 7 species